UGCUAGUUCCAGCAAAAAAAACGUUGGUUCCAGCAAAAUAACUCUGAAGGGAGACUCGAAUUGGUUCUAUUGUAGCAAACAAAAAAAGAUUGUAGCAAAAGGAAAAGCUAGUUCCAGCAAAAACAUACACUGGUUCCAGCAAAUAUCACACGUUGACGAUGAGCACGCAUCUGGUUCCAGCAAAUCGGUGGCCGACGGCAGCAAAAACUGAUACCGGUUCCAGCAAAUGGAUGGCCGGUUGUAGCAUUUCUUGUCACCGGUUGCAACUGUCGACACCGCGGUUGUAGCAAAUCGCCAGUAGUGGUCGUCGCCGCCGCGCGUUGAUUGUAGCAUGGCCGCAUGCCGGUUGUAGCACCUCGGAACGCCGGUUCCAGCUUUGCGUGCAUGCGGUUGGAGCACCGCCGCACCUCGCGUCGCCGCUGGUCGUCCCGCACCUCGUCGGUCACCGCUCGUAGCAGCAAGACGUCGCCGGUUCAUAGCACAGGCGGUGACCGCUCCGCGCGUCCCGGCACACAAGAAAAGCAGUGAGAAAUAGGGAACGGCGCUCCCGCUGGCAAAAAUUAGCUCGACGGCCUGCGCGAGGAGCAGACGGCACAUGAGGCAGGAUUAAAAGGAGAUGGGAAGAGGUGGGGAUCCAUGGAGUUUUUGCCGUGGUGUGUGGAGAAGAGCAUGGGAGCUAUUUCUGUUUCGGUGGAGAAGAAAU
rnacentral:rRNA from 1 species